rnacentral:lncRNA from 1 species
UAUAUACAUGUAUUUCAUACAUAAAAAAUAUUUUUCCGGUAAUUUUUCAAUUUCUUAUACUAUUUUUCAAAAAUCAUAAUAGUGCGUGACUUAAGAAAAUUAGCUACCUCGUGCUUAACUCCAGAGAUGCCCAUCUUUUGAAAUAACCUUAUAUAUGUUAACGUGAUGCUCCAUUUUAAAUUUCGUGGCAAUCGGAGUUGUAGAACUCCGGUUAUAGCAAUUUCCGUCGGAAAAUCACAAAAAUUAGAAUAGUCAUAACUUGGCCGUUUUAACUCAGAAUUAGCUCAUUUUUGGACACGAGCUACAUAAUACCACAUAUUUUCAUUUCCCGAAAUCCCGGAAUUUUUCUUACAAAAUAAUUUACCGAAACAGCCUCCGGAGAAUUUUUGGCAGUUUACUUUUGCACAUAUGCAGUUUUGGAGUCCUUUACCAAAACUUAAAUAAAAUGAAAUCUAUAACUCCGAUUAAUGAUCCGUCAAUUUGUUUUGGAUUCGUAUCUUUCCGAACUACAGUUUUCAUCUAUCACAAUCCAUAUUUGGACAUGUUAAGCUCCCGGAAAUUAGCUUGGAAGUGGGUGUUAAAAACUGUUACUCUAACAGUUUUUCUUACCUUUGAGUAGUUUGGGAGAAAUUUCAUAACUCUCUCCUCCGAUGUCGGAUUUAGUCCAUUUCAGAGUCUAUGGAAAGCUUAUUGAGUAUACUAUAACAUACCAAAAGCUCAGAAUUUUUAGAGUAAGCUAGCUAACCCUGAAAUUUCCUUUUUGUGGCAGCAACUUUUUGGCCAAAAAAAACAGUUUUGGGGUCCUUCACCGUAAAAUCCAUAUCUCUCAAACUGUAUGGCCAAAAAUUCUCAAUUUUUUACACAACCUGCAUAUCUACUGAUAUUAACACGCCAAAAUUUUUUCAGAAUUUAUAAAGCACAAAAAGGGGACGAAAAUGCCCCUGCUACGGACUGAUCCAAAACAGUUCCUAGAAACGGGACUGUUUUCACAUAAAUCAACACCACGACUUUUAGAAAAGUGAUUUUUGAGUUCUACCACUUGGGUUAUCAUAUAUCUAGCACCCCUCUUUGACGGAUCGCAAAAAGGAAUUUUAGAUUUAAAACGGUGAAAUUUCAAAGUAUAUAGAAAUUUUGAUUUUCAAAACUAGAAAAUUAUUUUUCCUUAUUCUUUUGAUUCCCACCAAAUCAACACCCAAUAUGGUUAUAUCUAAACAUGAAACACUCAUUAACACAUAUAUCUAAGGUUUUUGAGUUUAGAAACAUAAAUCCAAGCUUUGAUUUGAAAAACUAAAAAUCAAUUGCAUAAACUAAUUUUAGGAUUUACCUUUUUC